UAUUACAUAUUUAUUCUAUGUCUUCUCUGAAUAACUAAACUAUCUAGCUAAGUAUUAGAUAAUUAGUGCAUUUCCAAUAAUUGUUGCGUGAUAAACAUCUAUUUUGAAAGUUUUAUCAGAUAUGUUUUUAAAAUAGAAUGAAAUUGCCAUCUGAUUAAAAUCAUAAUCCGAUAAACCUUUAAUAUAAAUGUUGCCCCUUUUUAAAUAUCGCCAGUUACAUAUUGAAUAACUAUUAAUUUAAAUUCGAUUGCUACCAUCAGCUUUUUAUUCACUUAUCGACAUAAAUUCUGUAACAAUGAACCGUCGAACCAACAUGCCUGGAGCUUUCACCGUCCAAGGAUACUCUAUCGCAACGAACCCCUGCUUCGGACCGAGCAGAUUGAGCAACCCACAUUUUGGGGCACCUGUCAAUCCACCACCACACUACAACACUUGCUUCGUCUCCGCAUCUUCGCUCAGGAAAGCUUACCCCCAGAUGACUCCCACUCGAAAUAAUCAUUGUUUUAAGUGAUUCGCCUCGAUAAUGGUUAUAUUGAAUCUCAAUUAUGGAAUGUAUUAUAUCUAGGCAUAAGUAUGUUAAGUGUUGACUAAUUUCUAACUUAUUAAAACCUAUUAACUCU